AGUCAUAUGCUUGUCUCAAAGAUUAAGCCAUGCAUGUGUCAGUACAAACCAAUAUAAGGUGAAACCGCGAAUGGCUCAUUAAAUCAGCUAUGUUUCAUUGGAUCUGUACCCCCCAUUUACUUGGACAACUGUGGUAAUUCUAGAGCUAAUACAUGCACUUAUAGUCCCUGACCGUGAGGGAAGGGCGCUUUUAUUAGUUCAAAACCGGUCGGGCCUCGGUCCGUAAACGCACCUGUGAUGACUCUGGAUAACUUUUUGCUGAGCGCACGGUCUCCGUACUGGCGCCGCAUCUUUCAAGUGUCUGCCUUAUCAGCUUUCGAUUGUAGUUUAUGCGCCUACAAUGGCUAUAACGGGUAACGGGGAAUCAGGGUUCGAUUCCGGAGAGGGAGCCUGAGAAACGGCUACCACAUCUAAGGAAGGCAGCAGGCACGCAAAUUACCCACUCCCGGCACGGGGAGGUAGUGACGAAAAAUAACGAUGCGAGACUCAUCCGAGGCCUCGCAAUCGGAAUGAGUACACUUUAAAUCCUUUAACGAGGACCCAUUGGAGGGCAAGUCUGGUGCCAGCAGCCGCGGUAAUUCCAGCUCCAAUAGCGUAUAUUAAAGUUGUUGCGGUU
rnacentral:rRNA from 1 species